GCGGAGGUGGUGAAAUGGCAGACACGCAGCGUUCAGGGCGCUGUGGGGGUAACCUCAUGAGGGUUCAACUCCCUCCCUCCGCA
rnacentral:tRNA from 1 species